rnacentral:rRNA from 1 species
CCGCCAGAGAACUACAAGUGAAAAACUUGAAACUCAAAGGACUUGACGGUGUCCCAUAUCAACCUAGAGGAGCCUGUCCUAUAAUCGAUACUCCACGUUUAACCCAACCCCAACUAGCACAACAUCAGCCUAUAUACCGCCGUCGACAGCCUACCCUAUGAAGGUCUAAUAGUAGACUCAAUAGCCCUACCGCUAGCACGUCAGGUCAAGGUGUAGCAAAUGUUGAGGAAGAGAUUGGCUACAUUUUUUACAAUAAAAAAUACGAAAUGUAUUAUGAAAUCAUACAUGAAGGUGAAUUUAGCAGUAAAC